AGGCUGACCCUCUCGGGGCUCUUCCGGCUUCCGACCUUGCGCGGCGUCUUUCUGAACUCCCUCGGCUGUCUGAGCUCUUAUCAUGCCAUCUGGACUUCUCAGAUAAUGAACUCCUUUAGUCGUCUACCGGACUGCUCCAAAUGCUCUCUGGGCUUCCUUAUCAGCUGACUUUCUACAGUGAUCGACUACCCUCUGAAUCUCUUCUAGACUUCUCCUGCCACGAUCGACUUUACUCCGAACUUCUUCCGAACUUCGUCAAUGUCCGAGCUUCUCCAACAGCAGGACUUCUAUAGUAACUAGACUCCAUCCAAAUUUCUACGGCGGUCGACCGUGUUCCGGAUUUCAUCCGAGCUCCUACAAGAGUCGGACUCCGUCCGAACUUCUAUAACGGAUGGAUCCCAGAUGAACUUCUACAACGAAUGGGCUCCACCAGUCGGAUCUCUACUCUGAACUUCCAUUGCAAGUGGAUUUCAUCCAAGCUUCUACAAUAAGAAGUCUCCAUCCGAGCUUCCACGGUAACCGGUCUCUGUCCGAGCUUCUACAGUAAGCGGCCUCCUUCCGAACUCCUA
rnacentral:lncRNA from 1 species